rnacentral:lncRNA from 1 species
UUUUUGAGGUUUUCGUCAAUUUGGUAACUCCGAUCCUUUUCAAAUUUUUUUGUACUUGUUUUAAACUUGAUUUUUAAGAAAUAUGAAGAUUUUGAAUUGAGAUCGACGGUUUAUUCAUUAGAUAUUGAGGUUUAAAUUUGUCAUAGGAAUUACUAGGAUUUGGAUUAGGAUUUGGCUAGGGAUCGAUUUAGAAUUUAGGGUUUGGAUUAGGGUUUGGUUAGGGUUUGAUUUAGGGUUGGGAUUAGGAUUUGGAUUAAGAUUUAAGGUUUGAUUAGGAUUUAGGGUUGGAUUAGGAUUUGGAUUAGGAUUUAAGGUUUGGUUAGGAUUUGAUUUAGGAUUUAGAUUAGGGUUUGAUUUAAGGUUUGGUUUAGGGUUUUGGGUUUGAAAUAGGAUUUCAUUUAGGAUUUCAUUUAGGAUUUCAUUUAAGGUUUAUUUAGGAUUUGACUUAGGAUUUAGGAUUUAUUAGGGUUUAAGAUUUAAUUAGGUUUGGUCUAAAGUUUGAGUGAAAUUUAUUAGGGCUUUAACUAGAAUUAAAUUAAGGUUGAAUUAACAUAUAUUUGAAUAAUAUUUGUGAUCAUUCUAAUAUUUCAUUGAAAAUUUUAUUAUUUGUUUGAAAUUUCUUUGAAUUUUUUUGAAUUUGAUUACGUUUGUUUACCAUAUUAUAGUCUAAUUAGAGCAUUGUUAGUAUUCUAUUAGAAUUAGGAUUUUGUUAUCGCAAUUUCUAUUCUUCCUUCUACAGCCAGGUGUCCGGAGCAUUCUCAAGCAAGACUUCAUACAUUACGACAUAUUUGGUGAAUUUGACGUGAAACGCUUGAGGUGGAAGGAAUUUAUUAUUAUUUUUAUUAUUUGAAUUUUUGAAAAGGAAUUAAAGGAGAAUGGAAGGAGGUAAUUUGGAUAGUGCUUGAAGUAGAGUUGGAAGAAGAGCUUCAUUUGGAGGAGAAGGUAUGCAUUUUGAUCCUAAUUCUGCAAGCAUGUUUGAAGCUUUGACCUUAUUCAUGCAACAACAAGAGCAAUAGGUUAAAGAUCGCAAAGAGAGUAUGGCUAACAAAGCAUUACAAGUAGUCGUGGACAAGAACGAUGAAUUUGAAGGAAAGGAUAUUACAAAAUAUUUAAGAUGUUAUGUAAAAGAAAUAGAAUUGAAGCGUAUUUCAGAAAGCGAGAUGGUUCAAUUAUUUGAAUUAGCCUCUACACGAGAGAUAAGAAAUCAAGUUAAGUUUCUUAUACAACACUUUGGAGGUUCAUGGGAGAAAUUUUCUCAAGCUUUGAAGGAUGAGUUUUUCUUAGAAGAUAGUGAUAGGAUUACAAAAAGGUCUUUUUUUGAAUGGAUUGAAAAGCCAAAGAAGGAUCUUCUAGCAAUAGAAUUAUUAAGGGAGUUUAAAAAGUAAUAUUCUUCUUUAUCAAAGAAAGAAAGAUAAUUAUUGGAUUCAAGUAAGGUGGAGCUCUUUCUUCAAGCAGCUGAUGGAAAGUUGCAAGAGAAGUUAGAAUUCAUGCUUGAAGAUAAAGAAGAAGAUGAAGGAUUGACAACAAUUUAGAAAAGGAUAGAGGAUGCUGUAAGGAGGUUGACAAAAAGAGAAAGGAGUAAAGAUAUGGGGGGUGAUCAAAGACCAUUACAAGCAUCUAAGGUAUAGGUGUCUAGUAUCCAUCCGACAUCUUUGAUUCAACCUUCAAUGGUUACAACAAAGAAAGAAGAAACGGGAAUUGAUGAAAUCAUACGUGGGAUGAGAGAUUUGUAAAUAAAAUUUACAAAACUUGAAGAGAAAGGUCAAUCAUCAAGAAUAUCAACAAAACAAAGACCAAGGCCAAUGGAGGGUGUAGUACAUAGAUGCAUGUGAUGUGACAGCAUAGAUCACUCGAGGAGGAAAUGUAAAGAAUUUACAAAGACAUUACGUAAAGGAGUUGUUUUUUUUAGAGAUGGUAUGAUACACUCAAAAGAAAAUAGAAAAAAAUUAGAAACAAAUUUUGGUAAAGGAAGAAUGAAGUUAUUUAUUAGAGAUACUUUUAAAGUGCAAACAAUCUCAAGCAAUGAAGCAUCAACAUAUUGGGUGGAAGUAGAUCCUAGUAGAUGUUUAAGUAUAAAUCUUGAGUUUCCGGGAGAAUCUAGUUCUUUGUGGAUAAGUGGAAUGAGGUAUGCUGAAAGGAGAAAUUUUACUAGAGAUGAUUUAAAACAUAUUGGUAAUAACAUUCGACGAAUAAUUGGGUGGGAUGAUCCAGUAGAUAGAUUAUCUGUACAUGCUCAUAUUGCAAGGAGUCAACAUGAAGCAUUAAUAGAAGAAAAAUGAAGGAGAGAUGAAAAUAAUGAAAGGCCCUCAAAAAAAACUACAAGGGAGAAAAAAGUACGACAACAAAAGAAUUUUAUUCAUGAAGAGACAAUAGAGAAUAUUUCUACAAAAAAGAGGGAAAUUGGAAAAGAAAAAGUAAAGGCUCCUGCUUAUAAAUUACAAUCAGAUAUUAAAGCAGCUACAAAUUUGAAGAAGGUAUUGGAGGAGUGGAUUUUAAGUGAAAAGGUUGAAUUCUCAAUUGAUAAAAUUCUAGGAAUUACAAAGCAUGAGUUUCAUGAAGUUAUUAUUGAUACAAUAAAGAAAAAAUGACAAUCUAUAGGAGACUCUAUGACAUCGAAUGCACAAGGAACAAGAGCAAUGGAAAGAAAUAAAGAUAAAGAAGAUGAAAUACAAAAUUUUGGAGAUGUCUUGCGAGUAAGGUUUGCAAAAAAAGAAGAUGUCAUUCAAGCUUCUAGCCAUUAUUCUAGAAGUCAUUGAGCAAGGGCUACAACGGAGACUUUAAUAAAAUUGAAAAAUUUAGAAGAACCAGUUGUAGCAUUAAUUGAUCAUGGUUCUGAAAUCAAUUUGAUGUCAAAGGAAUUAUAUAAUAAGAAAAAAUGGCCUAUUGAUACUGAACAUGGGUGGAUGAUAAGAGCUGCGAAUAAUUCAAAGGGAGAUUUGUAUGGAGCAUGUCCAAAUAUCAAAGUGACAAUUGGAGAUGUUAUUCAUGAACAGAAUUUUUUUGUGCAAGACAUGUCUACAUAUCCUAUUAUAUUGGGACAACCAUAUAUUAUUUCCACACGAAUGGAAACAAAAGUAAUGGAUGAUGGUUUAGCUUAUGCAAGAAUAAGAAGCCAAGAUGGAAUGAAAGCAGUUCAAUUUUUAACUGUUUGUACUAAUCAUGAGAGAAAUCAUGAUAAGUUGAGAGAGAAACUAAUAUCAAAUGAGAAAUUUGAAGACCUUGAGGGUUUUUACCACACACCAUUGUAAGGCAGGGUUGCAAUGGAUUAGAGAAAAAAAAGCUUCUAUUUAAUUAAGAAGAAGAAUUGUUAUCUACCGGACUUAUUGGGAUGACACAAGAUUGUGUAUUGACUUUUAAAACUAUUGACAAAAUGAAAAAGAGGGACAGAUGUUAUAUUAAAAAUAUUGAGAAAAAUUUGAAAGAAAAUGGAAAAUUAGUUGAAAAUGAAUUUAUUUUAGGAGCAUAUGAAGAAGUAGGUUUUACAGAUACUAUGGAGGAAUUAAAUUAUCUAUUACAAUGUGGGUUACAAGUAGAGAAUAGAGUUAUUAAUGUAUAUUUUAAAGAAUUUUAUGAUGAAAUUUAAGGAUUUAAAGAAAAUUUAAGUCGCCAAGAGGUAUAUAUUGAAACUAAGUAUAAAUCAGUAGCAAAGAAGGUCAAACCAGUGGCUUUGUCACUACCAUCUGAUUCUGAAGAAAUGAUAAGUAGAGCAUCGACACAACCAAAUCUAAGAGAUCCAAGGAAGAUAGGGCAUAAAUUUAUGGAUGUUACAUUAGAUGGGUUAAAUAUUGGAGGUGAUGGAUUUUUGACAAAAUGUGAAGAAAAAUAUUUUAGGGAUAUGCUUUCAUGUUAUGGAAAAGCUUUUGCAUUUGAAGCACAUGAAAUUGGGUGUGUGGAUCCAAAUAUUGUAGCACCCAUGGUUAUUUUUACUAUUUCUCAUGAACCAUGGAAUUUGUGACCAAUUCCAGUACCAAGAGCGCAUUUAUCUAAGUUAGUAGAUUUAUUCAAUGAAAAGAUUAAAAUAGAAAUUUUGUAACCAUCUAUAGCACCUUAUUCUAAUCGAUAGUUUACAGUGCCAAAGAAAAAUGGAACAAUGAGAUUUAUACAAGAUAUGCAAGCCAUAAAUAAAGUGACUAUUAGAAAUAUGGGUUCAAGUCCAAUUGUAGAUGAAUUUGCAGAAGCAUUUGCUAGAAGAGCUAUCUAUUCAAUGGGUGAUCUUUAUUCAGGUUAUGAUCAAUUUCAAUUGAUAAUACAAAGUAGGAAUUUGACAACUAUGAAGACACCGUUAGGAUUGGUUAGAAUGUGCACAUUACCACAAGGGGCUACAAAUUUUGUAGCACAUAUGAUGAAUGGAAUGCAUAAGGUAUUAAGAGAUUUUAUUCCAAGAAUAACAAUGUCUUUUUUGGAUGAUGUACCUAUUAAGGGAUGUGAAGAAGAAAGAAAGGAUGAAACUUUAGAUUCAAGGGGAUGUAGGAAGUUUGUGGCAGAUUAUAUUGAAGAUUGUGAGAAGAUUUUGAAAAGAUUGGAAGAAGUUCAUUUAACCUUAUCGGGGACAAAAUCAAUGUUUGGAAUAAAAGAAAUUUUGGUGGUAGGACACAUAUGUGGUUCAUAUGGACGUAAACCAAGUAUAGAAAAGAUUGAUAUUAUUAAAAAGAUGAAAGAAUGUACAAAUACAACGAAAGUGAAAAGAUUUUUAAGAGCAUGUAUUUUCUAUCAUAUAUGGAUACCUCACUUUGCACAUAUAGCAGAUCCAUUGUAUGAGUUGUUAAGAAAGAAUCAAAAAUUUCAAUGGAAAGAAGAACAACGGAAAGCUAUAGAAAAAUUGAAAGAACUUCUUUCUUCAUCUCUAACUUUAAAGAAAGUAAAUUAUGAAGGUGGAAGGCCAGUGGUAUUAACAGUUGAUGCAAGUCCAAUUGGAAUAAGUUGGGCAGUUGGACAAGAUGAUAAACAAGAAAAUAGAUAUAUAGUAAGAUUUGGAGCAAAGGUAUUGAAUUCCAGGCAAAGGGCAUAUGCGCAAAUCAAAAGAGAAUUAUGGGUUAUAGUAAUAGCUAUGAAAAAUAAAAAAGAAUACUUGAUUGAAGUAUCAGUAGUUAUAGAAACAGAUUUUCUACCUUUAUUAGGCAUGAUUACAAGUUGUUCAACUCUUGAUAUUGCUAUAUUGAGGUGGAUAGCAUAUAUCAAAUCUAUGAAUCCUAAAUUUAAACAUAUUGCAGAGAAAGAAAAUUCAGUUGCAGAUAUGUUAUCGAGAGCAAGGUAUAAUGAUGAAGAAAAGAUGAUUGAUUUAGAAGAUGAUGUGGGUACAAAAUUUUAUACCAAUGCGUUAUCAAAGGAAAAGGGUGUAUGUUUUAAUAUACCAUUGGAAGCAUUUUUAAGAGAUUUAUAUGAAAAUAAAUGGAAAGAUGUUGGAGAGUAUUUGAGCACAUUAAAACGACAAAAAGGUUGGACGUAUCAAGAAUUUAAGAAAAUUUGUAAGAAAGCCUAUGGAUAUUUUUUACAUGAUGGAUAUUUAUGGAAGCAUCCAAAAAAGAGAGGAAAAGUACCACAAAGGAUGAUAUGUGGUUUAAAAGCUCAACAAAGGAUUAUUAAAGAAUUUCAUGAAAAUUUAUGGGUAGGGCAUCGAGGUAUUUGGGCAACAUUCACUAAGUUAAAGGAAAAAUAUUGGUGGAAAAGAAUGUACAAAGACAUAGAAAAAUUUGUAGAAUCUUGUGAGACUUGUCAAGUAUAUUCAAAUAUUCGACAUCGAAAUGGGUUACAUCCAACAUACCCUUUGGCUUUACAUUACAAGUGGGUGGUGGAUUUAGUGGCAAUGCCUAUGGGACUUGGGCAAAUGAAGUAUUUGAUACUUGCACGAGAAGAUUUAUUGAAUAUGGUUGAAAGGCGAACAUUAAAAACAAAGGAUACUAAAGGUGUAUGUCGAUUUCUAUUAGAAGAAGUUAUUUGUCAUUAUGGAUGUAUUGAAAAAAUUACGGCGGAUAGGAGUGAAUUGGAUGCAAAAGAAGCACGAGAAUUUUUUAAUAGAAUAGGAAUUAAACUUUCUUUGACAACAACAUAUAACCCAGAAGGUAAUGAAAAAAGUGAGCAUGGGCAUUCACCUAUUGUUAAGGCAUUAGUAAAGGCAUGCAAUGACAAAGCACAUGAAUGACCUAGACUACUACCAUUUGCAUUGUGGACAGAUCGUUGUCGGGGUAGAGAGAGUUUGCCUCAAGAAAAUACUGGGCUUCUAGUUGUCACUAAUUAUUCAAUCAAGCUUGAAAAUAAGGGAAGCCCUAAGUUUAUAUAUAAUUUUUCUCUUUUUGAGUAAUUACACCAAAUACACAAUCCUCAAGUAACCCACAACUUCCAAAAUAUGAUAAAAUCUUCUAAAUCCUUGUUUAUUCUUAUGUGGAGAUUUUUCCGAACUUCAACACCUCAUAUCUCUUAAUCCGACCGUCCAAAAAAACUCAAAUUUUACAUGAGGUAUUGGUGUAUUCUUAUUAAAUUCUACAACAAUUUUCAACUGCAAAUUCGUUGCAGAUCUUGAGAUAUCUUGAAAUCCCUAACAGUCGCUUCAAACCCUUGUCUUUAUACAUUUGCAAGCAAUUUUCUUCAUAUUUCACAAAAUAUAAGCUCAAAUGCCACAAAAUUUGUAUGUAUAGCUUUUUAACACAAAAUUUUACAUUUUCCAAAAAGUUUGAGCCAAAAGUUCGUCCGAAAACUCAAGUUAUGGCUCCAACCAUUACUACAAACAAACUCGCUUACUUAUUGCUUUUGAUUUGGAAGCAUUGCCUUCAACUCCUUACAACUCCUUCAUAUGAACUCCAAAAGCAAUAAUUCUUUUGUAAAAGAUGUAGGCCUUGAAAUCGCCGUUCUAGUUGCACCUUCCGAUCUUCAAAAGCUGCUGUAAAACUCCUCGUACUCUCAAAAGAGUAACAGUAUGUCUUAAAUAAACACCUUAACUUCAAACGGUUAUAACUUUUUCACCCUAACUCCAAAUCCUCUAAUUUUUGUACAAAAAUUGUUCUCCAAACUCUAAACUUUACAACCUUAGCUUCUAAUCUCCGAAUGCCCCCUUUGAAGUCGCCGAAACCCUUUUUAAGGUCGUGGGCAGCCUCCUCAAAGCCCAUUGGGCAUGGUAUUCGACCAAUAGGGAUGAAGUUUUCCAUUCCUUGCCUUCAUCCGACCAUGACUUGCUUUCAUCCCUCCUAAUUAGCCUCCUACUAGUUUAGAUUUUCAUCCUUAGGUUUCCACCUUCUUUCAAGGCUUCAUAUUAAACAUUUAGGUCCAAUAUAUAUAUAUAUAUAUAUAUAUAUAUAUUUUAAUGUCAAAAUCAAAAGAAGUAAAGAAACAAAAUAAAGUUUCUUAUACCAACUCCUUUUAAUUUAAUCUACUAGCCACUCUAAUACACAUCUAGAUUUAUCAACAUAUAAUAUGUUUUAAUUAAUUUUUACAUAUUGUAAGUAUUUACAGUAUGACAUCGUACAACUCAUAGUUCGGUAACAGGUUAUAUGCCUUCUGAAUUAAUAUAUGGACAAAAGCCAAUAAUGCCAAUAGAAGAUGUAGUAUGUACAUGGGGUGUAUUGCCUUGGAAAAAUUAUCUCAAUAGAGAAGAACUUUUAGCAUUAUGGAUUCAACAGCUAGAAAAAAGGCCCAAUGAUAUUAAAAUAGUAAUAAAAAAAUUAAAAGAAGCAAGAGAAAAGAAUAAAGAAAGAUUUGAUAAAAAGCAUCAACUACAACCUAAGGCUAUUGAAGAUGGUGAUUGGGUAUUAGUUUAUGAUAGUAGCUUAGACAAUCAAAAUAGCACUAUGAAAAAGUUUGCAAAGAGAUGGUUUGGACCGUAUAUUGUCAAAACGGCACACAACAAUGGAACAUAUUCAUUAUAAGAACUUGAUGGUACAGAAUUGAAGGUACUCAAAGCAAGCAAACAAAUUAAGUUAUUUAAACAAAGAGAUAAAGAUAUUUUUUUUGAUGAAGAACAAACUUCAAUACAAGAUAUCGAGAUUGGAAUAGAAGAGUACACUAAAAAUCAAGAAUUGUACUAAGAUGAAGAACAUUCCACACUAACAUAUUGAAGAAUUGUUGGUACAUGCCGGAGGAUGCACAGAUUCAAGGGGGGUGGAUGUCAUGAUGUAAUAUGACUAGUAGGUGAAAGGGUGAAGAAAUAUAUCAUGUUUUGAGGAUCUCACUUCAAAAAUAUUAUAGCAAAUUAUCUUGGAAAAAUAGAUAUUAGUAAAAAGGUAGAAAAAUUAAAGGUGCUAAUGCUGCCUUUUUACAAAUUAUGCUUCUAUUUACUUUGUAAGGCCAUAAAUAAGGCAAAACAAGGUAGAUUAGAAAAAUAAGGAUAUAGACAUAUGUAAGGAGGAGUUAGGAGUGCAAAUUAGUAAAAAUUACCUCAAGAAGACGAAAGUUGAUACCCGGAGAGGACCGGUUAUAAACCAGGGUCGAAAUCAGACCCUUAAGCACAAAACCAAGUCUCGACGACGACUCCAGGACUCUUUGGCAAAUCGGAUAGUGGGAUUUGAUAGAAGAUUGGAUAGAGUUUUUAUGGGCAUUGAGUUUGGGUGAUUUGGAGUUGAUAUGACUUUGUAAGAGCUUUGCAAAGUGGAGGUUUGUUUCGGAUGACUUGGGUUUUAUGAAAUAAAAUAGGAUUUAUGUUUUGAGUGAUUUCAAGAGUUUUGUUGCAGAUCUACGGGUGAAAUUUUUUGAGUUCAUGUUUAUAGUUGUGUUAAAUACAUGUUGUGAAUUUGAGCUCGAUCUAACAGUUGAAGCGAGAGAUAUUGAGGUUUAAGCGGAUCAAGAUCUCAGAAAGUAGAAUUUUAGGUCUAGUGAGCGUUUUUAAGAUUUCAUGCAAUUUACUAGUUGGAUUGGAGUAAAACUUAUGUGAGAGGGUAUUAGACUUAUUUUUCUAUGUCCAUGAGAAAUUUGAAACCAAUCGAACGGCGCAAAGAAGAGAAAUUGGCUCUGGAAGGUUGGCAUCAAGAUUGAAGAAGGAGGCCGGCUUACACCCGAACACAUUUUUGAGGUUUUCGUCAAUUUGGUAACUCCGAUCCUUUUCAAAUUUUUUUGUACUUGUUUUAAACUUGAUUUUUAAGAAAUAUGAAGAUUUUGAAUUGAGAUCGACGGUUUAUUCAUUAGAUAUUGAGGUUUAAAUUUGUCAUAGGAAUUACUAGGAUUUGGAUUAGGGUUUGGCUAGGAUUCGAUUUAGGGUGUGAUUUAGAGUUUAGGGUUUGGAUUAGGGUUUGGUUAGGAUUUGAUUUAGGAUUUGGAUUAGGAUUUGGAUUAGGCUUUAGAUUUUGAUUAGGGUUUGAUUUAGGAUUUGGAUUAGGAUUUGGUUAGGGUUUGAUUUAGGAUUUGGAUUAGGAUUUGGAUUAGGGUUUAGGAUUUGGUUAGGAUUUAGGAUUUGGAUUAGGAUUUAGGGUUUGGUUAAGGUUUAGGGUUGGAUUAGGGUUUAGGAUUUGAUUAGGGUUUAGGGUUGGAUUAGGAUUUAGGAUUUGGUUAGGGUUUGAUUUAGGAUUUGGAUUAAGAUUUGAUUUAAGGUUUGAUUUAGGAUUUAGGGUUUGAAAUAUGGUUUGAUUCAGGGUUUGAUUUAAAGUUUGGUUUAGGGUUUUGGGUUUGAAAUAGGAUUUGAUUUAGAGUUUAAUUUAAGAUUUGUUUAGGAUUUGACUUAGGAUUUAGGAUUUAUUAGGGUUUAAGAUUUAAUUAGGUUUGGUCUAAAGUUUGAGUGAAAUUCAUUAGGGUUUUAACUAGAAUUAAAUUAAGGUUGAAUUGACAUAUAUUUGAAUAAUAUUUGUGAUCAUUCUAAUAUUUCUUUAAAAAAAUUAUUGUUUGUUUGAAAUUUCUUUGAGUUGUUUUGAAUUUGAUUACGUUUGUUUACCAUUAUUAUAGUCUAAUUAGAACAUUGUUAGUAUUCUAUUAGAAUUAGGAUUUUGUUAUCGCAAUUUCUAUUCUUCCUUCUUCAGCCAAGUGCCCGGAGCAUUCUCAAGCAAGACUGCACAUAUUACGACAACGUUCUUCUACAAAACAAAUACCUUUUCUUUGUCAAUUAUGGUUAUCAUCGAGGACUUGAUACUUUUGACUUUUCAAAAGUUGAUAAUCAUGUUGCAAAAGAUUUAGCAAUUUAUUUGUCAAAGCUACAUGCAACGAUGAAGGUACAUUUAAAAGAAGCUCAAGAAUAACAAAAUGUGAAUGCAGAUGUCUAUCAAAAGGAACAACCACCAUUCUAUAUAGGUAAUAAGGUAUGAUUACUUCAUGGCAAUAUCAAGACCACUCGUCCUCAUAACAAGUUGGACUAUUGAAGGCUUGGACCAUUUUCUA